GACAGUCGUCACAGCAAAAUCUCCAUUUCUUUUAUUCCUUUUGAUUACAUUUUUGUUCGUUUUGAACGGCACAGCUCAGCGUGGCGAAAGUUUGAUCCAACCAGUCCUUAUUAUAUCUAGCCCAAAACACCGCCGUUAUCACAUUAUUGGAAGAGGAAUGCUCCCGAAAGGUACGCCUACACCACCGCAUGCUUCACCAUAUGGGCCACAUUGCUGUUGAUGAGCCUCGAUACUGCAACAAAAGUGAAGUAAAGAUGGAAGUGAAACAAAUAAAUAUAUAUAUAUACUCUCUAA